UCCUCAUUAGCUCAAUGGUAGAGUGGUCGGCUACUAACUGAUUGGUCGUAGGUUGGAAUCCUACUUGGGGAG
rnacentral:tRNA from 1 species